AGAGUUUGAUCCUGGCUCAGGACGAACGCUGGCGGCGCGCCUAACACAUGCAAGUCGAACGAGCGAGAGAGAGCUUGCUUUCUCGAGCGAGUGGCGAACGGGUGAGUAACGCGUGAGGAACCUGCCUCAAAGAGGGGGACAACAGUUGGAAACGACUGCUAAUACCGCAUAAGCCCACGGGUCGGCAUCGACCAGAGGGAAAAGGAGCAAUCCGCUUUGAGAUGGCCUCGCGUCCGAUUAGCUAGUUGGUGAGGUAAUGGCCCACCAAGGCGACGAUCGGUAGCCGGACUGAGAGGUUGAACGGCCACAUUGGGACUGAGACACGGCCCAGACUCCUACGGGAGGCAGCAGUGGGGAAUAUUGCACAAUGGGGGAAACCCUGAUGCAGCGACGCCGCGUGGAGGAAGAAGGUCUUCGGAUUGUAAACUCCUGUUGUUGAGGAAGAUAAUGACGGUACUCAACAAGGAAGUGACGGCUAACUACGUGCCAGCAGCCGCGGUAAAACGUAGGUCACAAGCGUUGUCCGGAAUUACUGGGUGUAAAGGGAGCGCAGGCGGGAAGACAAGUUGGAAGUGAAAUCUAUGGGCUCAACCCAUAAACUGCUUUCAAAACUGUUUUUCUUGAGUAGUGCAGAGGUAGGCGGAAUUCCCGGUGUAGCGGUGGAAUGCGUAGAUAUCGGGAGGAACACCAGUGGCGAAGGCGGCCUACUGGGCACCAACUGACGCUGAGGCUCGAAAGUGUGGGUAGCAAACAGGAUUAGAUACCCUGGUAGUCCACACCGUAAACGAUGAUUACUAGGUGUUGGAGGAUUGACCCCUUCAGUGCCGCAGUUAACACAAUAAGUAAUCCACCUGGGGAGUACGACCGCAAGGUUGAAACUCAAAGGAAUUGACGGGGGCCCGCAC
rnacentral:rRNA from 1 species